AUUGAACGCUGGCGGCAUGCUUUACACAUGCAAGUCGAACGGCAGCGCGGGCUUCGGCCUGGCGGCGAGUGGCGAACGGGCGAGUAAUGCAUCGGAACGUGCCCAGUAGUUGGGGAUAGCCCGGCGAAAGCCGGAUUAAUACCGCAUCCGCCCUGAGGGUGUAAGCGGGGAACCGAAAGGCCUUUCGCUAUUGCGGGGGUCGAUGUCGGAUUUGCUAGUUGGUGGGGUAACGGCUUACCAAGGCGACGAUCCGUAGCUGGUCUGAGGGGACGACCAGCCACACUGGGACUGAGACACGGCCCAGACUCCUACGGGAGGCAGCAGUGGGGAAUUUUGGACAAUGGGGGCAACCCUGAUCCAGCCAUGCCGCGUGCGGGAAGAAGGCCUUCGGGUUGUAAACCGCUUUUGUUCGGGAAGAAAUCCUCUGGGCUAAUACCCCGGGGGGAUGACGGUACCGGAAGAAUAAGCACCGGCUAACUACGUG
rnacentral:rRNA from 1 species